rnacentral:rRNA from 1 species
GUCUACGGCCAUGCCACCCUGAACAUGCCCGAUCUCAUCUGAUCUCGGAAGCUAAGCAGGGUCGGGCCUGGUUAGUACUUGGAUGGGAGACCCCUAGUAAUACCAGGUGCUGUAGGCA